rnacentral:rRNA from 1 species
GACGAACGCUGGCGGCGUGCUUAACACAUGCAAGUCGAACGCUGAAGCCCUUCGGGGUGGAUGAGUGGCGAACGGGUGAGUAACACGUGGGUAAUCUGCCCUGCACUCUGGGAUAAGCCUUGGAAACGGGGUCUAAUACCGGAUAGGACACAUCGCCGCAUGGUGUGUGUGUGGAAAGUUCCGGCGGUGCAGGUUGAGCCCGCGGCCUAUCAGCUUGUUGGUGGGGUGAUGGCCUACCAAGGCGACGACGGGUAGCCGGCCUGAGAGGGUGACCGUCCACAGUGGGACUGAGACACGGCCCAGACGCCGACGGGAGGCAGCAGUGGGGAAUCUUGCGCAAUGGGCGAGAGCCUGACGCAGCAACGCCGCGUGGGGGAUGACGGCCUUCGGGUUGUAAACCUCUUUCGACCGGGACGAAGGAUUCGUUUGACGGUACCGGUAGAAGAAGCACCGGCUAACUACGUGCCAGCAGCCGCCGUAAGAC